rnacentral:rRNA from 1 species
AGCGGGAUGCUUACACAUGCAAGUCGAACGGCAGCGCGGACUUCGGUCUGGCGGCGAGUGGCGAACGGGUGAGUAAUGUAUCGGAACGUGCCUAGUAGCGGGGGAUAACUACUCGAAAGAGUAGCUAAUACCGCAUACGCCCUACGGGGGAAAGGGGGGGAUCGCAAGACCUCUCACUAUUAGAGCGGCCGAUAUCGGAUUAGCUAGUUGGUGAGGUAAAGGCUCACCAAGGCGACGAUCCGUAGCUGGUUUGAGAGGACGACCAGCCACACUGGGACUGAGACACGGCCCAGACUCCUACGGGAGGCAGCAGUGGGGAAUUUUGGACAAUGGGGGAAACCCUGAUCCAGCCAUUCCGCGUGUGCGAUGAAGGCCUUCGGGUUGUAAAGCACUUUUGGCAGGAAAGAAAUCGCAUGGGUUAAUAACCUGUGUGGAUGACGGUACCUGCAGAAUAAGCACCGGCUAACUACGUGCCAGCAGCCGCGGUAAUACGUAGGGUGCAAGCGUUAAUCGGAAUUACUGGGCGUAAAGCGUGCGCAGGCGGUUCGGAAAGAAGGAUGUGAAAUCCCAGGGCUUAACCUUGGAACUGCAUUCUUAACUACCGGGCUAGAGUAUUUCAGAGGGAGGUGGAAUUCCGCGUGUAGCAGUGAAAUGCGUAGAUAUGCGGAGGAACACCGAUGGCGAAGGCAGCCUCCUGGGAUAAUACUGACGCUCAUGCACGAAAGCGUGGGUAGCAAACAGGAUUAGAUACCCUGGUAGUCCACGCCCUAAACGAUGUCAACUAGCUGUUGGGGCCUUCGGGCCUUAGUAGCGCAGCUAACGCGUGAAGUUGACCGCCUGGGGAGUACGGUCGCAAGAUUAAAACUCAAAGGAAUUGACGG